rnacentral:rRNA from 1 species
AUACGGAGGGCGCAAGCGUUGUUCGGAAUCAUUGGGCGUAAAGCGCGUGUAGGCGGCUUGGUAAGUCGGGUGUGAAAUCCCGGGGCUCAACCCCGGAACUGCAUUCGAAACUGCCUCGCUAGAGUCCCGGAGAGGAAGGCGGAAUUCCCAGUGUAGCGGUGAAAUGCGUAGAUAUUGGGAAGAACACCGGUGGCGAAGGCGGCUACCUGGACCGGAACUGACGCUGAGGCGCGAAAGCCAGGGGAGCGAAUGGGAUUAGAAACCCCGGUAGUCC